rnacentral:rRNA from 1 species
AUUGAACGCUGGCGGCAGGCCUAACACAUGCAAGUCGAACGAGUGGCGGACGGGUGAGCAAUGUCUGGGAAACUGCCCGACGGAGGGGGAUAACUACUGGAAACGGUAGCUAAUACCGCAUACCAGCGGAUGUGCCCAGAUUGGAUUCGCUAGUAGGUGGGGUAACGGCUAACCUAGGCGACGAUCCCUACCUGGUCUGAGCGGAUGACCAGGCACACUGGAACGGGGACACGGUCCAGGCUCCUACGGCAGGCACCAGUGGGGAAUAUUGAACAAUGGGCGCAAGCCUGAUGCAGCGAUGCCGCGUGUGUGAAGAAGGCCUUCGGAUUGUAAAGGACUUUCAGCGGGGAGGCGUUACUCGCAGAAGAAGCACCGGCUAACUCCGUGCCAGCAGCCGCGGUAAUAC